CAGGGAGACAACAAAAUGUUUAAUAUUAUUAUUUUGUCACCUUAGGUCGAUCGGUAUCUCACAUUCUUAAUUUAUUAAGGAUUUUAUUUCCUAAGUUUUUUCUAGGUCACACCCAUUACUUUUCCUGGGCCAUUAGCUCAGGUGGUUAGAGCGCACCCCUGAUAAGGGUGAGGUCCCUGGUUCAAGUCCAGGAUGGCCCAUAUCUCUAUGUUGGGGGUAUAGCUCAGUUGGUAGAGCGCCUGCUUUGCAAGCAGGAUGUCAGCGGUUCGAGUCCGCUUACCUCCACUGAUUACCACCUCUUCCAUAAUUAUUGAGGAAAUGUUUUGAGUAGUGAUCAAAUUCUGAACGAAUCUAGCUUCCUAAUGAAUUCAUUAAGAUGCUGGACUCAUUGAAUUAUUUUCAUUGUUUUCAGAGAACCUUGACAACUGCAUAGAUUAUUUUUAAAGACAAUAAGCAUCUUUAUGAUGCAGAUUUAUUAUUUGUGCGAAUGCAUUAAUAACAAUUCUAUUAAGCUGAUGCUUCAA
rnacentral:tRNA from 1 species